CUUGCUCUUGGAUUAGUGGCGAACGGGUGAGUAACACGUGAGUAACCUGCCCUUGACUCUGGGAUAAGCACUGGAAACGGUGUCUAAUACCGGAUAUGACAGCUGACGGCAUCGUCUGGUUGUGGAAAGAAUUUUGGUCAAGGAUGGACUCGCGGCCUAUCAGCUAGUUGGUGAGGUAACGGCCCACCAAGGCGACGACGGGUAGCCGGCCUGAGAGGGUGACCGGCCACACUGGGACUGAGACACGGCCCAGACUCCUACGGGAGGCAGCAGUGGGGAAUAUUGCACAAUGGGCGAAAGCCUGAUGCAGCAACGCCGCGUGAGGGACGACGGCCUUCGGGUUGUAAACCUCUUUUAGUAGGGAAGAAGCGAAAGUGACGGUACCUGCAGAAAAAGCACCGGCUAACUACGUGCCAGCAGCCGCGGUAAUACGUAGGGUGCAAGCGUUAUCCGGAAUUAUUGGGCGUAAAGAGCUCGUAGGCGGUUUGUCGCGUCUGCCGUGAAAACUGGAGGCUCAACCUCCAGCCUGCGGUGGGUACGGGCAGACUAGAGUGCGGUAGGGGAGAUUGGAAUUCCUGGUGUAGCGGUGGAAUGCGCAGAUAUCAGGAGGAACACCAAUGGCGAAGGCAGAUCUCUGGGCCGUAACUGACGCUGAGGAGCGAAAGCAUGGGGAGCGAACAGGAUUAGAUACCCUGGUAGUCCAUGCCGUAAACGUUGGGAACUAGAUGUAGGGACCAUUCCACGGUUUCUGUGUCGCAGCUAACGCAUUAAGUUCCCCGCCUGGGGAGUACGGCCGCAAGGCUAAAACUCAAAAGAAUUGACGG
rnacentral:rRNA from 1 species